rnacentral:rRNA from 1 species
UUUUAUGGAGAGUUUGAUCCUGGCUCAGGAUGAACGCUGGCGGCGUGCCUAAUACAUGCAAGUCGAGCGAACGGACGAGAAGCUUGCUUCUCUGAUGUUAGCGGCGGACGGGUGAGUAACACGUGGAUAACCUACCUAUAAGACUGGGAUAACUUCGGGAAACCGGAGCUAAUACCGGAUAAUAUUUUGAACCGCAUGGUUCAAAAGUGAAAGACGGUCUUGCUGUCACUUAUAGAUGGAUCCGCGCUGCAUUAGCUAGUUG